rnacentral:rRNA from 1 species
UGGCAGGUCAGCAUACUGCCGUGAAUACGUUCCCGGGCCCUUGUACACACCGCCCGUCACACCAUGAGAGUUGGGAAUACCCGAAGCCUGUGAGCUAACAAGUUUCUUGAGGCAGCAGUCGAAGGUAGAAUCAAUGAUUGGGGUGAAGUCGUAACAAGGUAGC